CUAAAUUGUAAGCACUUCUAAGAUUAAGCUUAGUAAAGCACCCUUGAGUCUGUCAAAUAAUUCAGCAAUAAGAGGAAUGGGGUAGGCGUUUUUAAUGGUGAUUUUGUUUAUGGGUAAGGUUUCAUGCAUUAUUAAUGGUUGUGAGAGUGGUCUCCCAUCAAUAGCUUUAACGGCUAAGGGUGAUAGUCUCUCCUUGAUAGGUAUAGUAUUAUCCUUGACAAAUUGGACAUCAAUGAAAUUUCCAGCAGCCCCUGAG